AAGCCGUGGUGUGGGCAUUGGUUAGUGUAGCUUCUAAACCGUUCCCAAGCUUCACUAAAGCUCUCGUUAUUGUGCUGCGUGAAACUUGAGAUCUGAUUCCUGAGCUU
rfam:Eutrema salsugineum unplaced genomic scaffold scaffold_10, whole genome shotgun sequence.